ensembl:snRNA U6 U6 spliceosomal RNA
AUGCUUGCUUUGGAAGCACAUAUACUAACAUUGGACCGAUACAGAGAUUAGUGUGGCCGCCGCUCAAGGAUAACAUGCAAAUCUGUGAAGCGUUCCAUUAAAAA